GUGGGGAAUCUUGCGCAAUGGGCGAAAGCCUGACGCAGCCAUGCCGCGUGAAUGAUGAAGGUCUUAGGAUUGUAAAAUUCUUUCACCGGGGACGAUAAUGACGGUACCCGGAGAAGAAGCUCCGGCUAACUUCGUGCCAGCAGCCGCGGUAAUACGAAGGGGGCUAGCGUUGCUCGGAAUUACUGGGCGUAAAGGGCGCGUAGGCGGACAGCUUAGUCAGAGGUGAAAGCCCAGGGCUCAACCUUGGAAUUGCCUUUGAUACUGGCUGUCUUGAGUUUGGGAGAGGUGAGUGGAACUCCGAGUGUAGAGGUGAAAUUCGUAGAUAUUCGGAAGAACACCAGUGGCGAAGGCGACUCACUGGACCGUAGUUGACGCUGAGGUGCGAAAGCGUGGGGAGCAAACAGGAUUAGAUACCCGAGUAGUCC
rnacentral:rRNA from 1 species